rnacentral:rRNA from 1 species
AUUGAACGCUGGCGGCAGGCUUAACACAUGCAAGUCGAGCGGAGCGAGGGUGCUUGCACCUUAGCUUAGCGGCGGACGGGUGAGUAAUGCUUAGGAAUCUGCCUAUUAGUGGGGGACAACAUUCCGAAAGGAAUGCUAAUACCGCAUACGCCCUACGGGGGAAAGCAGGGGAUCUUCGGACCUUGCGCUAAUAGAUGAGCCUAAGUCGGAUUAGCUAGUUGGUGGGGUAAAGGCCUACCAAGGCGACGAUCUGUAGCGGGUCUGAGAGGAUGAUCCGCCACACUGGGACUGAGACACGGCCCAGACUCCUACGGGAGGCAGCAGUGGGGAAUAUUGGACAAUGGGCGGAAGCCUGAUCCAGCCAUGCCGCGUGUGUGAAGAAGGCCUUUUGGUUGUAAAGCACUUUAAGCGAGGAGGAGGCUACUUAGAUUAAUACUCUGGGAUAGUGGACGUUACUCGCAGAAUAAGCACCGGCUAACUCUGUGCCAGCCGCCGCGGUAA